rnacentral:rRNA from 1 species
UUGCUGUGGGUGGAUGAGUGGCGAACGGGUGAGUAACACGUGAGUAACCUGCCCCUGAUUUCGGGAUAAGCCUGGGAAACUGGGUCUAAUACCGGAUACGACCAACUCUCGCAUGAGGGUUGGUGGAAAGUUUUUCGAUUGGGGAUGGGCUCGCGGCCUAUCAGCUUGUUGGUGGGGUAAUGGCCUACCAAGGCGACGACGGGUAGCCGGCCUGAGAGGGCGACCGGCCACACUGGGACUGAGACACGGCCCAGACUCCUACGGGAGGCAGCAGUGGGGAAUAUUGCACAAUGGGGGAAACCCUGAUGCAGCGACGCAGCGUGCGGGAUGACGGCCUUCGGGUUGUAAACCGCUUUCAGCAGGGAAGAAGCCUUUGUGGUGACGGUACCUGCAGAAGAAGUACCGGCUAACUACGUGCCAGCAGCCGCGGUAAUACGUAGGGUACGAGCGUUGUCCGGAAUUAUUGGGCGUAAAGAGCUCGUAGGUGGUUGGUCACGUCUGCUGUGGAAACGCAACGCUUAACGUUGCGCGGGCAGUGGCGUACGGGCUGACUAGAGUGCAGUAGGGGAGUCUGGAAUUCCUGGUGUAGCG